GAUGUUUGCUUCUUUUAGAACCAAAUUUCCAGAGUCCAACAACUGUGCAACAGGGUUGUCACCCUUUGUUAUGUUUGAUGACCAUACAAGAUUCUGUCCUUGGUCAAGAAGAACGAUGUUUCGAUCCUCCAGCUUGAAAAUACCUGACGAGUUCGCGAGUGGUUUGUCUCUGUUGGCAAUCCACACGUAUGUUCUGACAGGAAUGUUCUUGUACCAUAUCCCCACGUACCAUUCACCUGGAUUUUCCAGGGUGAAGAACCCAAACUCGAAAACAUCACCUGGGGAGACGAGAGUUUGGUUAUUUAUGAUAGACUGAGUAGCAGUUAAGGUGUCAAUGGAGAAGGAAAUUGUUGGGAAGAUAGCUAGGAAAGCGAAGAACAAGAAGAAGCUACAAAAAUGGUGAUUUCUUAUAGUUCCCAUUCUUCACUUACUCUGGCUCUAGGAGUUCCUCUCUCAAACUGGUGGAGCUGGUUUGUUCAUUUUGAAGACAUUUGGAAUGUGCUCUACGGCUCUCCUCUUUCCCUGGUAUUCUCUGUUGGGAAUGGGCAUUUCACAUUUCACAAAGAAAACGAACGGUUUCACACGCGGAAUGGUGCUGGGCUUGGAUAUGGCCCUCGGAAAGGGACACUUCUUGGACAGAGCUGGACCCUCCCACCAAACUAGUGAGCGUGCCUUUUGAGUCUUGGACGG